rnacentral:tRNA from 2 species
GGAGAGGUAUCGAAGUGGUCAUAACGGGGCUGACUCGAAAUCAGUUUGUGAGCAAUCACACGCGGGUUCGAAUCCCGCUCUCUCCG